UGAGUAACGCGUGAGGAACCUGCCUUCCAGAGGGGGACAACAGUUGGAAACGACUGCUAAUACCGCAUGAUGCGUUGGAGCCGCAUGACUCCGACGUCAAAAAUUUAUCGCUGGAAGAUGGCCUCGCGUCUGAUUAGCUAGUUGGUGAGGUAACGGCCCACCAAGGCGACGAUCAGUAGCCGGACUGAGAGGUUGACCGGCCACAUUGGGACUGAGAUACGGCCCAGACUCCUACGGGAGGCAGCAG
rnacentral:rRNA from 1 species